CCUACGGGUGGCAGCAGUAGGGAAUCUUCCACAAUGGGCGAAAGCCUGAUGGAGCAACGCCGCGUGGGUGAAGAAGGUCUUCGGAUCGUAAAACCCUGUUGUUAGAGAAGAAAGUGAGUGAGAGUAACUGUUCACGUUUCGACGGUAUCUAACCAGAAAGCCACGGCUAACUACGUGCCAGCGGCCGCGGGAAUUCGUAGGUGGCAAGCGUUAUCGGGAAUUAUUGGGCGUAAAGGGAACGAAGGCGGUCAUGUAAGUCUGAUGUGAAAGCCUUCGGCUUAACCGGAGUAGUGCAUUGGAAACUGGGAGACUUGGGUGCAGGAGAGGAGAGUGGAACUCCAUGUGUAGCGGUGAAAUGCGUAGAUAUAUGGAAGAACACCAGUGGCGAAGGCGGCUCUCUGGACUGUAACUGACGCUGAGGUUCGAAGGCGUGGGGAGCAAACAGGAUUAGAUACCCCUGUAGUC
rnacentral:rRNA from 1 species